rnacentral:lncRNA from 1 species
AUACCAUCAAAUUACUAGAGAACAUUGGGGAAACCCUGCAAGACAUUGGCACAGGCAAUCAAAGCCAGAAUUCACAAAUGGGACUAUAUCAAAUUGAGAAGCUUCUGUACUGUGGAAGAAAACACUCAGGAAAAUGAAGAGGCAACCGACAGAUGGAAGAAAUUAUUUUCAAACUAUGCAAUGAUUAAGAUUUAAUAACCAGAAUGUAUAAAGAAACUCCACAACAACAGGGUGGACCUUUCCUUGAAACAAUUUGGAAUCUGAUGAUCCGAAUCAAGACUGGAAGCAUGGUGUUAGUGCACCUGCUGAAAACGUGUAACAGAGUGGCAUCCCGCGAGCAAAAAACCCCAGCUCUGCCACUGCACUGCUCUCCUGGAUUCGCUUAGGCAAGUCAUUUAACUGUCUUUUUCUUUUUUUUUUCUUUUCUUAUUAGAAAAAUGGAUCAAAUGAUAAAACCUGUAGGGGCUAGUGGUGUGGUGUAGUGGGUUAAGCAACCACCUGUGACACUGGCAUUUCAUCCUGGAGGGCCAGUUCGAGUCCCAGCUGCUCCACUUCCAAUCCAGCUCCCUGCUAACAC